CAUGUUGCACCAUUUGCAUCAUAGCAUGUUUAUUUUCCAAAAAAAUAAUAAUGCAUGGAAAAAAAAAAAGGAAAAAAGUCAACUCGCAUAUGCAUAUCCUUUUCAGGAUCAUUCAUGAUAAAAUAGCAUUCGCAUCAUAUGCACAUCAUACACAUAUCAUCCUUGCAUUACAGACAUAUUUGGGAACGUGACUUCUCACUUUGGGUUCUGAGACAGGAUAGCUGAUCAAAGGCCACACCGGUUUUCAACCAGGCUCA
rnacentral:lncRNA from 1 species